AAUGACGACUUGUCGUCGGGAUGAAAUCGAGUAAAUAUAUCCUGUCGCGUAUCGGAGCGUUGCACGUCGUCCGCCUCGGUCGCCGGUGUUCGGUGCUGAGUGAAGUGCGUUCCUCAAAUCGUUGUUGAGCUGCUUCAGGGUCCAGAAAUCACGACAGAUAAGCACAAGUCAGAGGAGAGCUUUCAGACAGCUUCGAGACUCUUCUACGAUUUGCGAAACACGGCAGACCAGUCUGAAGUCGCCUACCGAACGGAGCGGAUGCCGGAAAUAAACAGCCUCGAGACGCAGCCUCUCCGUACGAUCCGAUCGUCAGCCGCGUUGCUACGCGACGUAAACAGAUUCGAAAACAAACAAUUGUUUCAAAAUCUGUUUACGUUGCGUAGCAACGCUGCUGGCGAUCGGAUCAAACGGAGAGGCUGCGUCUCGAGGACAAACUAGAGGCUCAUUGUUUACUUCCGACAUCCGUUCCGUUCGGUAGGCGACUUUAGACUGGUCUGCCGCGAUUCGCACAUCGUAGAAGAUUCUCGAAGGUGUGAGAACGCUCGUCUGUGCGUACAUUCUGUGAUUUGGGACAACGGAGGAUGGAAAUCGACGACGACGCCAAGUUGGCGGAUUUGCAGCUGCGGCGAACUUCACUCGUCUCUGGACGUCAAACCGAGGAGAAUGGGUUCGACGCCACGUAAAGGGCAUGCAAUUGAUAUCAGAAGGAUGACGUAUUUUCUUACCUGGCCACCCUCUCCGACCAUGACGUCACCCGAAGUUUCCUCCGGGACGAAAUCCGGCGGAACAACGAUGUUCAAACGGCCUGUCUGAGAGAAACGGAUCAUAGACGGUACUUUCACGCUGUGGUUUUUCAAUCUCGGUAAUGGAAUCUGCGGAAAUUAUAACAUCGACGAUCAAGCUUUUACAGGAUCAACUCUGCGAUAAAGGGAUGAUUUUAAUUUGGAAGCAACUUUCGCAGUGCGUCAAAUCAUUGGAUCGGGUAUGUCAAAUAAACUUAAGCUUGACUCUU
rnacentral:lncRNA from 1 species